CGUCGCCGUGGUCCCGCUGCCCCCGGCCCGGCGUGUCUUCUGCCGGGUAAGAGCGGCGGGGCCGGGGGGAGCGGCCUCGGGUUGCACCGGGGGGACGUGCAGGUCGGGUGUGAGGAAAAACUCGCAAAGAGGGUUCUGCCCCUUCCAUUUUCUCUUUCCUUACACAUUGCUGGUUCUUUCUGAUACCUCCUGGAAGCCAGUCCAGUAAUUACUGUAUGGUUUGGUUGAACCUGGUGUUGUCAGCUGCCUAAGACACUAGUGCUGUGACUGCUGGUGCCCUCAGCCACCAUUCAGCUAAGCGCCUUCUCACAUGAGCAAGCCAGGCUUUCAAAGCCUGCAGGCCCUCUGCACAUCUCUUACGGAUUGAUCAGCAGAAGGCAGCCCUGGCAACUUGACUGAGAAGAGAAACCAUUUUUCAGCACUUGCAGAGAGCAGCAAGUGGAGCAUUGUCCAGAGGUGCCAGGACCCAACCAUGCCACUGAGUGGCUUAUUUUCUGGAGCAUAAUAUGGGAUGUGGUUUGGUGCCACUGUUGACUUCAUCUUGCCAGGCAGUCUCACAAAGGAGAAAUGUUGCAUUAGCAUCUGGAUCCUGAAAAAUAAGCUGUUUGCAGUGCUUACAGUGCUGCUCUGAUCCAUCAGUAUGGAUGCAGAUGUCUGUAGUGUAAAGACGGUAAUGAAAAAUAGACGGGAAUCAACUGAGAAUGUAACUGUCUCAGCAUAACUGACUGCAAACAGCAAAGUUCGCUCUGCACCUUUUAAGAGGAACAGAAACCAAAAGCUGUGGGAAUGACUGGGAGAAACAGAAUGGCUUUCACCAUGGGCAACAGUGCCCUUCUGUCUGAUGCCGUGUGAAGUGGCUGCCUCUGGGUGUUUGUGGGUACAUACCCAGGGAUUUGGACACACAUCCCUCAUGUGGGAUCAUGGGAAAAAGGAAGGUCAGCACCACCUCUAAGCUGCUGAGGAACUGCAGGAAAGCUGCAAAUCCCCCUGAGCAAAUCUGGCCUCCUUGGCCAGUCGUUCCUUGCCAAAGGGGCAUCCCAGGGAAGCAGGACCAAGAGCAGUUUGGGUGUGAGCCACAGCCUCUUCUGACCAGCUGUGGUGAUUCUGGUGACCAGUCAAAGCAGAGGAAAAGGUUCAGCAACGGAUGAUGUCCCCAGCCCGCCUAUUCCCUCCUCCUGUGCCUCUGAGGUCCAGUGCAUGGCCAGGCUCGAUGGUAAUCCUAAAGAUGAAGGUGACUGCAGUGCUCUCUUUCUUCUUUCUAACUUUCUUCCUGGGGUGAUGGGGGGGCAUGUGCUGUGUACCCCAACGUGGGUUGCAGGAACAGGGCAGCCCUCAGUCCCCAGGCUGACACUUUGGUGCUGGUGGGUCCCCAGCAUUUGCUGGGGGUUAGUAUGCAAAAACACCAGGGGGAGUAGCAGGACAGGAUUUAAAAUACUGUGAGUGAGGCAGAGCAGAAUGUGAGAGCAGAUGUGAAGGCAACAGAUAUCAGAAAGGAACUGCCAGGUGCUGGGCAGAGCGGUGACGACACUGGUGACAGCACCAAGGCCACAGUGCUGAUAAGGCCACUGCACACACAUGGAGCAAGAGUGAGAUGAUGCAAUCUGGCUCAGUCACCCAUUCCCCAGAAGAUGGAAGAU
ensembl:lncRNA